UACGGAGGGUGCAAGCGUUAUCCGGAUUUACUGGGUUUAAAGGGUGCGUAGGUGGAUAAUUAAGUCAGUGGUGAAAUCUUCAGGCUUAACCUGGAAACUGCCAUUGAUACUAUUUGUCUUGAAUACUUUGGAGGUAAGCGGAAUAUGUCAUGUAGCGGUGAAAUGCUUAGAUAUGACAUAGAACACCAAUUGCGAAGGCAGCUUACUACACAGUAAUUGACACUGAGGCACGAAAGCGUGGGGAGUCAAACAGGA
rnacentral:rRNA from 1 species